UCAGAACAAUGGCUCCUGAUGACAAAGACCCCAGGACUGCAGUGGGCACGCUCACUGCAGUCCAGCUGCAGUCCCACCUGAAGAUGGAGCCCAAGACUCUGGGGGUGAGUGUGUGAGUGUGGCUCAGUGUGUGACCUCUGCACACACAGACUCACUCUCCCUGUGCACCCCCCCCCCCCCCCCCCCCCCCCCCCCCCAGGCCAUCCAGAUCGUGAUUGGAGCGCUGAUCCUCUGCCUCAGUUCCUCAGUGCUCCAGAUCCACGAGGUCCACUUCACUGGGGACGUGGCUCUGUUCCUAAUCGUGGUGCUGCAGGUGACGCUGUCGGGCUCCGUGCUGGUCCACAGUGGGAGGAGGCCCACCAUGUUCUGGGUGAAGUUUGUGCUGGUGCUUCACCUCAUCAGUGCAGCGUUCACCACGGCCGCCCUGGGUCUGAUGUCCAAACACCUGCCGUACCGUCAGGACUCCUACCACUGUGAACACUGUCGCCGCCUGGAGCUCCACGCUGUGGUACGUGCUUUACAAACCAGCGUAGAUCACAUGGUGCUGCUCUGACUCUGACCCCCAAUUUCCACCGUAUCCGAAACUGCUACGUAACUGCUUCCGAACACUGCUACGUAAC
rnacentral:lncRNA from 1 species